UAUAUAAGAAGUAAAAUAUUUUACUUUUAAUUUCGACUUAAAUAUAGAUUUUAUAAAAAAUCCUUAUAUAA
rnacentral:tRNA from 1 species